rnacentral:rRNA from 1 species
UACGAAGGGGGCUAGCGUUGCUCGGAAUUACUGGGCGUAAAGGGCGCGUAGGCGGGUCGUUUAGUUAGAGGUGAAAGCCCAGGGCUCAACCCUGGAAUUGCCUUUAAUACUGGCGGCCUUGAGUAUGGCAGAGGUGUGUGGAACUCCGAGUGUAGAGGUGAAAUUCGUAGAUAUUCGGAAGAACACCAGUGGCGAAGGCGGCUCACUGGCCCGAUACUGACGCUGAGGUGCGAAAGCGUGGGGAGCAAACAGG